UACAGAGGUCUCAAGCGUUGUUCGGAUUCAUUGGGCGUAAAGGGUGCGUAGGCGGCGCGGUAAGUCGGGUGUGAAAUCUCGGAGCUUAACUCCGAAACUGCAUUCGAUACUGCCGUGCUUGAGGACUGGAGAGGAGACUGGAAUUUACGGUGUAGCGGUGAAAUGCGUAGAUAUCGUAAGGAAGACCAGUGGCGAAGGCGGGUCUCUGGACAGUUCCUGACGCUGAGGCACGAAGGUCAGGGGGGGCAAACGGG
rnacentral:rRNA from 1 species